rnacentral:rRNA from 1 species
UGGCUCAUUAAAUCAGUUAUCGUUUAUUUGAUAGUACCUUACUACUUGGAUACCUGUGGUAAUUCUAGAGCUAAUACAUGCUAAAAAUCCCGACUCACGGAGGGAUGUAUUUAUUAGAUUAAAAACCAAUGCCCUUCGGGGCUUUCUGGUGAUUCAUAAUAACUUCUCGAAUCGCAUGGCCUUGCGCCGGCGAUGGUUCAUUCAAAUUUCUGCCCUAUCAACUUUCGAUGGCAGGGUCUUGGCCUGCCAUGGUUACAACGGGUAACGGAGGGUUAGGGCUCGACCCCGGAGAAGGAGCCUGAGAAACGGCUACUACAUCCAAGGAAGGCAGCAGGCGCGCAAAUUACCCAAUCCCGAUACGGGGAGGUAGUGACAAUAAAUACUGAUACAGGGCUCUUUUGGGUCUUGUAAUUGGAAUGAGUACAAUUUAAAUCCCUUAACGAGGAACAAUUGGAGGGCAAGUCUGGUGCCAGCAGCCGCGGUAAUUCCAGCUCCAAUAGCGUAUAUUAAAGUUGUUGCAGUUAAAAAGCUCGUAGUUGAACCUUGGGCCUGGCUGGCCGGUCCGCCUCACCGCGUGCACUGGUUCGGCCGGGCCUUUCCCUCUGGGGAGCCCCAUGCCCUUCACUGGGUGUGGCGGGGAACCAGGACUUUUACUGUGAAAAAAUUAGAGUGUUCAAAGCAGGCCUAUGCUCGAAUACAUCAGCAUGGAAUAAUAGAAUAGGACGUGUGGUUCUAUUUUGUUGGUUUCUAGGACCGCCGUAAUGAUUAAUAGGGACAGUCGGGGGCAUCAGUAUUCAAUUGUCAGAGGUGAAAUUCUUGGAUUUAUUGAAGACUAACUACUGCGAAAGCAUUUGCCAAGGAUGUUUUCAUUAAUCAGGAACGAAAGUUAGGGGAUCGAAGACGAUCAGAUACCGUCGUAGUCUUAACCAUAAACUAUGCCGACUAGGGAUCGGACGAUGUUAUUUUUUGACUCGUUCGGCACCUUACGAGAAAUCAAA